rnacentral:lncRNA from 1 species
ACUAACGGGCAAGAUGGCUUUGUCAUCUCCCUCCUGCUGAUAGGUAGCAUCUUACUUGGCACAAAUUAGGUUACUCUCUGUUGGCAUGAAUGUGCACGUUUGGCUGGAGCCAUGUUUCUUUGACAGUCUCUUUUGUAGCUGCCAAAAUUCAGCAAAUCCAAACCCAGCUCCACUUGCUGGACAGAUUAUUUCUGUCAGACAUGUUAAACCCAGUUUAACAUGCAGGCAAAAUGAAUAGUAGUGCUUAAUACUUUUACAGCUGCCUGUGUGCAACCUCACAUUAAUUUGUCUCUAAGGCCAAGCCCAAGGAAGCUGUACCAGUGGGAACAUCCAGAACCCAACGUGACCGCAGUCUGCAGAGAUGCUGCAGAGGAAGGAGGAUGCACAUGCGAGCAAAGGGAUUUCUUGCCUCCAUAACCAGCAAGAGAAUGUCAGCUUGUGCCAAUUCGAGCUAGAGACCAACGGACACAUGAGACCUGCACCAUUUCUUGUGGGAACACACAGCUGACUCCUUCCUGCCAUCUAGGAGUGGACAUGUCCUGCUUCUGAACAAAGGUUCUCGACAAAGGUGGAGACUGAGUGCCUUGCAUGUCACCUACCCUACCGGGCUGGGCUGGCCAGCAUGGCAGCAAAUUGCAUUUCUGCUCCAAGAGACGUAGAAGAUGAUUGCCAGGGAGACCUGCUCUCCACAGCCCUACAGCAAUUCCUCUGGAGGCCUCCUCUCCAAUCGGGGGAUCGUUUCAUAAGGGAUCGAUGGUGAUUGCCAAAACCUCUCUGCCCUGAAGCCAGCAAGUGGAAACGUUUCCGUUUCUCCUCUGGAUCUGACCCGAAGUCCCGGGACCCGAUGCCAUUCUGGAGAUUUAUUAGUGAAUCCUUCAUCUGCAAGACAA